rnacentral:rRNA from 1 species
GACGAACGCUGGCGGCGUGCCUAAUACAUGCAAGUCGAACGAAGCUGUUUUAACUGGUGCUUGCACCGACUUAAACAACUGAGUGGCGAACGGGUGAGUAACACGUGGGUAACCUGCCCCAAAGCGGGGGAUAACAUUUGGAAACAGACGCUAAUACCGCAUAAUCACAGAAACCACAUGGUUUCUGUGUCAAAGAUGGUUUCGGCUAUCACUUUGGGAUGGACCCGCGGCGUAUUAGCUAGUUGGUAAGGUAAUGGCUUACAAAGGCAAUGAUACGUAGCCGAACUGAGAGGUUGAGCGGCCACAUUGGGACUGAGACACGGCCCAAACUCCUACGGGAGGCAGCAGUAGGGAAUCUUCCACAAUGGACGAAAGUCUGAUGGAGCAACGCCGCGUGAGUGAAGAAGGUUUUCGGAUCGUAAAACUCUGUUGUCAGAGAAGAACGUGUGCGAGAGUAACUGUUCGUGCAGUGACGGUAUCUGGCCAGAAAGCCACGGCUAACUACGUGCCAGCCGCCGCAGUAA